ACUUAAAUUGAAGAGUUUGAUCAUGGCUCAGAUUGAACGCUGGCGGCAGGCCUAACACAUGCAAGUCGAACGGUAACAGGAAGCAGCUUGCUGCUUUGCUGACGAGUGGCGGACGGGUGAGUAAUGUCU
rnacentral:rRNA from 2 species